rnacentral:rRNA from 1 species
UGCCUAAUACAUGCAAGUCGAGCGAGCUGAACCAACAGAUUCACUUCGGUGAUGACGUUGGGAACGCGAGCGGCGGAUGGGUGAGUAACACGUGGGGAACCUGCCCCAUAGUCUGGGAUACCACUUGGAAACAGGUGCUAAUACCGGAUAAGAAAGCAGAUCGCAUGAUCAGCUUAUAAAAGGCGGCGUAAGCUGUCGCUAUGGGAUGGCCCCGCGGUGCAUUAGCUAGUUGGUAGGGUAACGGCCUACCAAGGCAAUGAUGCAUAGCCGAGUUGAGAGACUGAUCGGCCACAUUGGGACUGAGACACGGCCCAAAC